UAUGCUUAACACAUGCAAGUCGAACGGCAGCACGAGAGAGCUUGCUCUCUUGGUGGCGAGUGGCGGACGGGUGAGUAACGCGUAAGAAUCUGCCUAGUAGUGGGGGAUAACUCGGGGAAACUCGAGCUAAUACCGCAUACGCCCUACGGGGGAAAGUGGGGGACCUUCGGGCCUCACGCUAUUAGAUGAGCUUGCGUUGGAUUAGCUAGUUGGUGAGGUAAUGGCUCACCAAGGCGACGAUCCAUAGCUGGUCUGAGAGGACGAUCAGCCACACUGGGACUGAGACACGGCCCAGACUCCUACGGGAGGCAGCAGUGGGGAAUAUUGGACAAUGGGCGCAAGCCUGAUCCAGCAAUACCGCGUGUGUGAAGAAGGCCUGCGGGUUGUAAAGCACUUUCAAUUGUGAAGAAAAGCUUGGGGUUAAUAGCCCCGAGUCUUGACGUUAACUUUAGAAGAAGCACCGGCUAACUCUGUGCCAGCAGCCGCGGUAAUACAGAGGGUGCGAGCGUUAAUCGGAAUUACUGGGCGUAAAGCGUGCGUAGGCGGUUUAGUAAGUCAGAUGUGAAAGCCCUGGGCUUAACCUGGGAACUGCAUUUGAAACUGCUGAACUAGAGUGUGGUAGAGGGAAGUGGAAUUCCGGGUGUAGCGGUGAAAUGCGUAGAUAUCCGGAGGAACACCAGUGGCGAAGGCGACUUCCUGGACCAACACUGACGCUGAGGUACGAAAGCGUGGGUAGCAAACAGGAUUAGAUACCCUGGUAGUCCACGCCGUAAACGAUGUCAACUAGUUGUUGGGAGCAUUCUGGCUUUUAGUAACGUAGCUAACGCGAUAAGUUGACCGCCUGGGGAGUACGGCCGCAAGGUUAAAACUCAAAGGAAUUGACGGGGGCCCGCACAAGCGGUGGAGCAUGUGGUUUAAUUCGAUGCAACGCGAAGAACCUUACCAGCCCUUGACAUCCUGCGAA
rnacentral:rRNA from 1 species